UAAUUACUGCCCUCUAGUUCUGUACUAUGUGCAGAUGUUGCAACUGGACUAAUUAACCACACAAAAUCAGACAUACUACUCACAGUGCUACAACAGUGCCAGUGUGAUGCAAACAGAAAUGGAACAAGGAACCACCUCCGUACCCUGGACGUCAGAAAUUUAGAAGAGAUGAAUGGUGUUUCUUUUUGGAAUGUGAACCUUCCAUUACUGCUAAAGAGAAAAUGUAAAUAUGAAGAGAAGUCCUCAUUGCUGCAGUCAUCUAGAUUACACGGGGGUUGAGAGGAAGGGUGGCCCUGAAAUGGUACUGAAGCACAAGUAAUGGUGAAAAAGAGAUAAAACCAUCCCAGCUAAGCUACUCACCUGGCAAGUACUGUGUUCCCAAGAAAGCCACAGAAAUGUCUUGAAGAAAGCAACGUAACCACUUUAGUGCUGGUGGUUUGGUGAACCUCACAGGGCGGCCUGCAGUCGGAUGUCAGCCAUACUUUCCAAACAACACGAGGACUGGUCAGUGGUUUGAGAUGAAAUGCAGCCAGGCUUGCUCUUUGGCUCCAGUGUGCCAAUAAGGACCACCUCUGAGACUGCAGGAUCUUGAAGGUUUAAAGGCCAUUCAGAUGAGACAGGACCAGUAGUCGGUAGAAGUAUCAGACCGUCAGUAUGUGAAAAGCAG
ensembl:lncRNA